ACACCACUAGCACAAAUCGGAUCCUGGGAAACAGGCAGAACUACGGUUCAUAAGCUCGGGUAGGCCGUCAACCUACCGCCGUAUCGUAUUGUGUUUGGCC
rfam:Barley yellow dwarf virus PAV-Ill genomic RNA, complete genome.